CUUUAUUGAACGAUGGGGUCUCAAAUGGGCUGCCUCUUUGCCACUCUUUUGGUAGUAUCAGUCUCUCUUAGCUACUUGCCGUUAGAAGCCUCCGCAAACAAAUACUACUACACAUCUCCUCCCCCUCCCAAAUACAAGUCUCCACCACCACCCCCGCCACCGGUUCACAAUUCUCCACCACCACCCCCGGUUUACCUGCCCCCGCCACCUCCUCCACCAGUCUACGUGCCUGCUCCGGCACCAACUCCAAUUUUCCCUUCUCCGCCACCUCCUGUCCCCAAGUCCCCACCACCACCUCACCCUUACAUCUAUGCAUCUCCCCCUCCUCCUUACUACUACUAGAAAGUGGCCAUGAAUAGCUCAUGCUUUUAUGGUAAUCUCAUUUAUUUUUAAAACUGUACAUGUAAAGACUAGUAGUUCAGAAUUACAUUAAGCAUUUCAAUUUUAAGCACCGUGUUCUGUUUAAUUGCGUUCCUAUUGAUUAAGUGACAAAUAAAAGAGAUUGAUUAAUUUGUUCUUGUAGGAGAGGCGAAUGGUUUCCGAAUAAAGAAAGCAAGGGUUUGAUGGAAGGCUUACUUGGAGCAAGAGAGCGAUCAAUCGAGUUGCUGCGUUUUAUUCUCUUUUAUCUUUGUUUUUUAAGAAAAAUAAACUGCCACACGUAGAAACAGAAAAUUAAGUUCUUGUCAUUUUCAUGCAUAUGGAUUGUUGCUGUGUGUGUCAAUCAAAUCUCCGUUGUGUCAUUUGUAAUUUUCAACCUUUAUGCAUGCAAAUGCGAGACCUCUUACGUAUAAUAAAAUUAAUAUACUUCCAAAGAUGGUCUUAUCUUGCGUUGACUUUUUACGUUCCUUUGGUGAUGAUUUUGACGUUUGAAAUUGAUGACUAUUGUUUUUGUAAACUCUGACAUGGAUUUUUCGUGCAACUACAGAGCGCAUUAACGAGAGACUUAUCCAUGAGGGUCCAUGCAGAUCAGUGUCUAAUUAACCAAUAAUUAAUAUAACUUAAAAAAUAUAGAGUUAAUAAUUUUUAUGGGUCAUGCUCAAUUGCAGAUGUUCGUACAAAAUUUCUUGCUAAUGUAUACUUGAGUAUGAUAAUAAGUUUUAAUCAUUAUUAAUAAUUCACUUGAUAAUAUUAAACAAAUUUUCAUAUCAAUUAAGUUACAAAAUUUCUGUGACAAAUUUCCACGUACUGGAACCAUGCAAAAGGGCUUUAUUCAAGCAAAGCUGCAUAGCCGUUGGCAAUUAAAAUUAUUUAUCAAUUAAGUUAAGUAGUAAGAAUUGGAUUGUGGAUUCCAUUAAUUAUUUCAAGGAAAAUUUUAUAGAUAAUGCCGUAAUGAAAUUUACGGCAUCAAUAUCACGAUAAAUAUAAAUAUUGUAAAUUACAAAUAGAAUUAGUAAAUGUAAAGUAAAACCAGUAAAUUCAUAAAAGAUUAUUAAUUAUUUAAAAAAUUAACAUUGUGUUAUGUUUGCAAGUUUUUGUUUUGUUUACUAGUUUUAUGUUAUGUUUGCAAGUUUUUGUUUUGUUUACUAGUAAUAGAUUAAUGGGUAAUUUUUAAUUGAGUCCUCAUUAGUUCUAGAAAAACAAUUCAGAGACCAGAAGUUUACUAAAUGAAUCAAUUAAAUUCUUUCAAGUACAAACUAAUGUCAUUCAAGUCCUUAACUUAAUUGGUCAGUUAAAAAUAUUAACAACGUCGAGGACAUUUUAGUAAAACAACAAUUGAGUCGUUUCUCAUUCUUUAUUUUUGACAGGUGGAAAUAGUUUAAAGUAAACUCACUUAACCUGAUUAAGUUAAGGAUCAGUUCUUUCAAAUGAAAAAAAAAAAAAAAAAAAACCUACAGAAACUGCCAUAUUCUUCGUGUGGGAGGAGAGAUCGAGAGAACGUGGGAUGGUGCAAAAAAUGUUGUAUAAAUCUACUGUGAUUUUGACCAAAGCUUUGGUAGCAUUGAUUGAGUUCAAGUACUGGAGAGAACCUGAGUUUAAAGGUUAGUAACUCUAUUUUUUUAGUGAUUUCUGCAAGCAUUUUCUGAUAAAAAAUUUUCCGUAUUGAGUGAUCGUUGUGAAAAAUUAAGUUUUUCAAGUCUAUUUUACAAAAUGACAAACUAUGUUUAAUUAUUGGUGGAUUCUUUUUUUUGUUCAAUGUUGUAUUUUGUUAAUUUGUUGUUUUUAAUUUGCUCUUAAUGUAAUUGUUAGACCAAAUACACCAUUAUUAUACCUGUAUUCAUUUCAACAAUUUGGUAUCGUUAUAUUAAUAAGAUUGAAUUCAUUGUAUUUGCUUCUUUGUUCAUGUAAAAUUGAAUUCUAUGUAUUCUUAUGAGUGAUAAUUUUUCUAUCUAUUAGACUAAAUUCACUAUAUUCACGACUUUCUUUCUUUUUGCUGGGCUAUUUUUUCUUUUUAGUUUAUAUUUUUUAUAUGUAUUAGAUUGAAUUUGCUUUUGUACGUUUUUUUAGCCGAAUUACAUGUAUAUUUUAUUUAGGUUGAGUUUUUUUGUUGUUUGCUAAAUAAAAUUCUAUUGGUUUAUCAUUUUUUGAUGCAAUACUUUUUGUUUAAAAUUAAUGCAGGUAGCCAUGUUACCUUUUUUUCGGUUAAAAUUAAUUGGGUGAUGUAUGCGAUAUAGGGAACCAGAGGAAUAUAAGAUUAUUAGGUUGUUUCUUGAAAUUCAAGAUGUCAUGGUUGAGCAUGGACACAGUGAAAUGGAUUUGAUUGAAAUUUCUGUUGUAUUGCCAUGGACUACAAGUAGGCAGAGGAAGCUAAUUUCAAACGAUAGUGAAUUGUAUUGGGUUUUCGAGGAGUUUUUUUUUUUUUUUUAUCAAUAGUUGUCCUGUCAUUGAGUUUGAGGUGCACAUUGGGUCAGGUGGUCAGUCAUUUCAUGAAAGUGUUGUAAUAGGACCUGAAAAUCCUGUCAAUAUAGGUGUUAGUGUUAUAAUAGUGAUAAGUUUGAAAAUCCUGUGGCUAAAAAGGGUAUGCCUAGAAUAAUUGGUACUUCUUUAUUUGCCUCAAAGUUCAACACUAUGAAAUCCACCAAGAAAAAGAAUUUAUCCACUUUAACCAGCAAUCUUCAAUCUUGCCUUCAGGAUAAGCAUGAGAUCUGUCAGCACAUUGCAAUGACACUGUGGUUGGUCUGACUUCUCCAACUUCCAAUUGCUUGAAUUCUGAUAAUGUCAUAAGAUUGAUGGCUUGCUCUCAAAUCACAAAGUGUCUUGCCACUGUAUUUAGUUCCUAUGGAACAAGGAAUUGUGAAACUUCCUGGAUCCUUCAACUUCUGAGGCAUUUUACUCUGAAGCAUAUGGCUGCAUUCUUGUGUUAGAGCAACUAUUUCGAAUUCUCCAAGCCUCCACUACUAGAAAAACAGGCUACUAUGACAGAAUUUUUGUGAUAGAUAUCAGAAAAUUAGUCAUUUAUCACAAAAAUAUAACAUACAUGUGAUAGAAUUUUCAUAUAUCAACAAGGCAUGAUAGAUUUGUGAUAGUUUCUUUAUCUGUCACUUGUACAUGAUAGCAUAUUAAUAUAGUAAUGAAACGGUGAGUUUAAGAUUGGCCAAUUUGGGCAUUGAACGACACCGUGUCUUGAAGCCUUUAAAAAAAAUUCUAAGUGUUGGACACUCCUUUGAACUUCACAUAGAAAACCCUAAUUUCUACAUCCAAACUGAAUCACACAAAAAUACACCAUCACACUUGCCGCCAAUAAAUUGUUGUUGUUCGUCUUUGUCGUCAUCUUCAUCCCCACUCCACAGCUUGCUGGCUAUUCCCAUUUCCCUUUUAUAGCUUGAACAACUGAUCUUCUUCAAGUUCGAGCCACUGUUACUGACUUCUUUCGGGAGAGGUAAGUGAUUAAUUCUUUUUUUUUUUUGAAGAGACAACAAUCACCAUAAAUUUCUCAAAAUCCCUAAAAUUAUGCCAAAAAAAGGAAAAAAUAAAGCCGUUCCAUGGCCUUAAAGGACUGACUUCGAGUUCGUGGACUAACGUGCCAACGACUCCGCUUUAUGGCCUUCGUGGAACGAUUCCGUGACACGCGAGUGGCAGCGUGCUAUUUACGUGGAGUCGGAUCGGAGAAGAUUGUACUACGAGGAGUUGGCGAUGUGAGAAAGACAGCGAGUUAGCUACUACGUCUUCGACUUAGGGUAAAAUUUUGGCAGAAUUUGAACUGAAAUUUAGUGGGUUUUGAGUGGUAAGACGAGGUUUUGAGAGAGGAAAAGGAGUGUUUGGCUGGCGAGAAAGUGAGAGAAAGUUUUUGAGUGUGGAGUGAUGGCUUCUCUGUUUUUACUUCUUUAUUGUUCUUUAUUGAGUAGAUGGUGACGAUACAAACUUUUAACAUUGUUUACUUAAUUAAUUGGAUAACAAUCUUACAUGACUAUUUUGAUUUAUCAGAUAAAUCAGUUAGAGAAGAAUGGAGAUGUUGUUGCUCAGGCACGAGCAAUUACAGCAAUCUAGACACUCUGCCCCGUCUUUCUUUCAAUGUUGUUGGCACACUGAAUAAUUUCCUUAGUGACAAGUUAACCAAAUUUAGAGGUAUAUGUGAUUUUGAUUUGACUUACUCUUAAUGAAAUACAAUAAGGAUUUUUUCUGUUGUUUCUAGGCCUUUUGGAGAGUUCGGAUUGAAGCAACGUUUGCCUUAGCUAAUACAACAUCUAAGGUAUUGUUAUUAUUCUCACCUUUAUUUAUUAAAUAUAUUGAGCACAUGGUAGGUCCACCAAAAUGUAUGCAAAAUCUAUUCACCAGAGGUAUUCGCAUAAAGUGAAUUUUUGUGAGAGACUAUUCUUCAACUGUGAAAACUACUUUGGUAGUUCUCAAACCCAUUACAAUUGAUUGGUGCUUGUGUUUUUCUAUUAGAAAGAUAUCUUCUGUAAAAUCUUUGUGAACUACAUUUUUGGAAAUGCAAAUGCUUUGUGUGGUGGUGAUUGUGCUUAUUUGCUUGGUCUUCUAGCAUUUCAGUGAAAUGAUUUAUUUUGACUUGUGCUUAUGACUAACUUGUUGACAGAGAAACUAGGCCAUUUAUGGAUGCACUGAUAUGAAUCCUAUAAUUUUUCUCUUAAUUGACAUGUUGAACUUUUUGGAAGAUAUUUUUUUUUUAUUUGAUUUGUCACAUAUUGUGCUUUAUUAGUUGGAAAUGUUUUGGUUUGUGGACCAUGUUGCACUUACCAGUUCUCAAUAUUGAUAUAUGAUAUAUACACACUAUUGUACUGGAAAUUGAUUGAGUUGGUUUGCUCCAUCUGGUGAAAUUUUAUAAAAGUCGAAGGUUUGAUGAGAAUAUUGGACUCCCCAAGUGAGAAUCUAUCUAAGUUUGAAAUUGUUCUGAUAUCGUUGCUGCAGCACUUUGUUAACGUUUUUGUUUUCUGCUGAUCAUUCCAGGCCAAAUGAUAUCCGUGAUUUUUCAGAGUAUUUGUUCUUGAGGUAAUGCCUUGAGGUAAGGUAUGUAAUGAGUUGUGUGAAGUGGGAUGUGAUAAUAAUUUUGCCCUCGCUUCAUGUGAUGAAAUCCCACAUAAUUUGCCCUUGCUUUAUGUGAUGAAAUCUUUGGGUGGUUUGUUUAUUUAGUGUUUUUCUAUUUCUUUUUAUAUGCUAAUUUUCAUAGUUCUAGAGCAAGUCUUUCUCUAGUCAUUUUGAAAUACUUCCACAUGCUGCUUCUUAAGCCAAGAUUGUCUUGCCCUAAUGAACAAGUUAAAUGGAUUUGCGUUGCUUGGAGUCUCAGUGUAAUAUAUGUGUUUUAGAACUUAGAUUGAUAAACAAAUUUGAACAAAUACAGUGGAAUAAGAAUAAAGAGAAGAUUAAAAAAAAAAGAGUAGAAAUAAAGAAAAGGAUGGUGAAACUUUAGGAGAAUAGGGGAAUCAAGAGAAGAGGAUAGAAUUUUGAUGGAUUUUAUUUAAUUAUGUAACGGAGGUUUUGUGUUGUUAGAUGUUGUGCGUUAAUUAAUUUGUAAUCUUGGAAAAAUACUUUAUCAUGAAUUGGGUUAAUUGUAAGUGGUCAAUACACUAAUAUAUAUUCUUCUAGCACUCAUCUAAAUGUAAUAUGUGUUUCAGGUGAUGUUGGUGGCUCUUGGGAAUUUACUAUCAGUGUUCUUUUUACGAAUUAAUUGUUUUUCUAAUGAUGGGGUAGUGAUUGAAUAUUGUAGAGAAUUUAUGAGUUAUUCUUACGGAUUUGAUUCACCAUGUAUUUUGAUGAUACUAUUUGUUGGAAGUUUCAAGUAAUUGAAAUUUUUAGUAUAUGGUGAUAUUUGGUAUUUGAUAGUUUUUAUGAAUUUGAAUGUAAUUUUUAUUUCAGUUAAUUCAAAUUUUAAAAUGUGGGUUUUGUUAUUUCUAUUUCAAAAUUCUGGAAUUUAAAUAAUAUUAAUUAGUAUUAUUAUAAUUUCAAAAUUAAAAAUAAUAAUUUUAUUUUUUUAAACCUUAAAUCUCAUGACAGAGAAUGUGAAUCAUUAAUAUAUGAAAGAUUUUGAAAAAGCCCACCAAAUUCAAUAUAAUUUAAAUUACCUGCUAAAAUUUCCAAUUAAUUCUCAAAAGCCUUGCAAAACGACGUCGCUUGGUUCGUGACAUAUGCGUGAUAGAUAUACACUGUCACAGAAACAUGUGAUAGAUAAAAUGUUGUCAUAGAUUUAUGAAAGGGGCUACAAUGACAGAUGGAAACUCUGUCAUAAGAGGGGUCGGAUGACAGAUAUUCUCUGUCAUGAUAGCCCAUUUUUCUAGUAGUGCUCAUUUUCCUUGCCAAUAUACAUUUCCAAAACUUUACAUAAUUUGGCAUUUGUUCCAAUGCUUCCACAAAAGGAAUGUUGAUAUGCAGUUGUUUCAAUACUUCCACCACCUGUCCCCAAGUUCCCACCACCACCUCACCCUUGCGUCUAUGCAUCUCCCCCUCCUCCUUACUACUACUAGAAAGCGGCCAUGAAUAGCUCAUGCUUUUAUGGUAAUCUCAUUUAUUUUUAAAACUGUACAUGUAAAGACUAGUAGUUCAGAAUUACAUUAAGCAUCAAAUUUAAGCACCGUGUUCUAUUUAAUUGCGUUCCUAUUGAUUAAGUGACAAAUAAAAGAGAUUGAUUAAUUUGUUCUUGUAGGAGAGGCGAAUGGUAUCCGAAUAAAGAAAGCAAGGGUUUGAUGGAAGGCUUACUUGGAGCAAGAUAGCGAUCAAUCGAGUUGCUGCGUUUUAUUCUCUUUUAUCUUUGUUUUUUAAGAAAAAUAAACUGCCACACGUAGAAACAGAAAAGUUCUUGUCAUUUUCAUGCAUAUGGAUUGUUGCUGUGUGUUUCAAUCAAUUCUCUGGCGUGUCAUUUGUAAUUUUCAACCUUCAUGCAUGCAAAUGCGAGACCUCUUUCGUAUAAUAAAAUUAGGGGAUUGUCACUUUCCCCCUACAGUAAUUAACAUAUAUUAUUUAUUCUCUUACUAUUUUUAUAAUGGCCAAAAACCCACUGACAACAUAAGUUUACAAUAUUACCUUUAUUUUUAACUACUCUUUUAUUUACAUUUAUUAUAAAUUAAAUAAAUUACAUGAAUAGAAACUAAAUAAAAAAAUUAAGUAUUAAAAAUAAGAAAUAUAUGUUGAUAUGAGGAAAAAAAUUAAUAAUAAAAUUUUUUUCUUGUAAUUAUUUAUUUUGUGAACAUUUUCUUAUAACAUUUUGUAAUAUUUUAAAAUUAAAUGUAAAAAGUAUAGGCAAAAUAUUUUAUUAUUUAUCUUAUAAUAAAUUGUUAUUUGUCAUUCAAAUUUUCUUAUAAUAAUUUUUUUUAUCAUUUUAUAAUAACUUUCUUAUAUAUUUAUUAUAAGAAAAUUUUCACAAAAUAAAUAAGUACAAGAAAAAAAAUUUAUUAUUAAUUUUUUUCUCAUAUCAAAACAUAUAAUAAUUUUUUUCUCAUAUCAAAACAUAUAUUUCUUGUUUUUAAUUCCUAAUUUUUUAUUUGAUUUCUAUUCAUGUGAUUUAUUUAAUUUGUAAUAAAUAUAAAUAAAAGAGUAAUUGAAAAUAAAGGUAAUGUUGUACACUUAUGCUAUCAGGGGAAGUUUUGGCCAUUAUAAAAAUAGUAUGGGAAAAAUAGUAUAUGUUGAUUACUAUAGGAGGGAAAUUAGCAAUCUCCCAAUAAAAUUAAUAUACUUCCCAAGACCGUCUUAUCUUGCGUUGACUUUUUACGUUCCUUUGGUGAUGAUUUUGACGUUUGAAAUUGAUGACUAUUGUUUUUGUAAACUCUGCAUGGAUUUUUCGUGCAACUACAGAGCGCAUUAACGAGAGACUUAUUCAUGAGGGUCCAUGCAGAUCAGUGUCUAAUUAACGAAUAAUUAAUAUAACUUAAAAAAUAUAUAGUUAACAAUUUUUAUGGGUCAUGCUCAAUUGCAGAUGUUCGUACAAAAUUUCUUGCUAAUGUAUACUUGAGUAUGAUAAUAAGUUUUAAUCAUUAUUAAUAAUUCACUUGAUAAUAUUAAACAAAUUUUCAUAUCAAUUAAGUUACAAAAUUUCUAUGACAAAUUUCCACGUACUGGAACCAUGCAAAAGGGCUUUAUUCAAACAAAGCUGCAUAGCCGUUGGCAAUUAAAAUAAUUUAUCAAUUAAGUUAAGUAGUAAGAAUUUUAUUGUGGAUUCGAUUAAUUAUUUCAAGGAAAAUUCUAUCGAUAAUGCCGUAACGAAAAUUACACAUAAAAUUAGUAAAUGUAAAGUAAAACCAGUAAAUUCAUAAAAAAUUAUUAAUUAUUUAAAAAAUUAAUAUUGUUUUUACAUAAUUUUAGUGCAAAAUAUUUUAUUUAGUUACAAAAAAAAUUUCUUUAAUUAAACAAAAAAAUUAUACAGAAAAAAAGUGGAAUACGUUUUAUUGAAUUGGUUACCAUAAAUUCUGUAAUUAUUCUAGGACAUUUGUAUACAUUUUUUUCUCAUUUUCUAUAAUGACAUCUAUUUAUUACACAUGUUAAUUAAGCGCAAUUAUUUAUCUUGAUGUGGAUCAAGUAAAAAUAAAAGAAAAGAUAUAUCAAUCAAAUUAGAUAUAAUUUUGAAUACUAUGUAUACUUUAUGUAGUUUCAAACUUUUUACUUGUAUUUGGAGACCAUUUAAGAUUGUUGUUGAAGAAGUGUAGAAAGAUGUAAAAUAACGUCAUCUUACAACAAUUAUAAUGAUAUCUAUUUAUUACACAUGUUAAUUAAGCACAAUUAUUUAUCUUGAUGUGGAUCAAGUAAAAAUAAAAGAAAAGAUAUAUCAAUAAAAUUAGAUCUAAUUUUGAAUAGGGAGAUUGCCAAUUUUCCCCCUACAGUAAUCAACAUAUACCAUUUUCCCCCCUACUGUUUUUAUAAUGGCCAAAAACCCCCCUGAUAGCAUAAGUGUAUAUUAUUACUCUUAUUUUCAACUACUCUUUUAUUUAUAUUUGUUAUAAAUUAAAUAAAUCACAUGAAUAGAAACCAAAUAAAAAAUUAAGCAUUAAAAACAAGAAAUAUAUGUUUUGAUAUGAGAAAAAAAUUAAUAAUAAUUUUUUUCUUGUACUUAUUUAUUUUGUGAAAAUUUUCUUAUAAUAAAUAUAUAAGAAAGUUAUUAUAAAACGAUAAAACCAAUUAUUAUAAGAAAAUUUGAAUGACAAAUAAAAAUUUAUUAUAAUAUAAAUAAUAAAAUAUUUUGUCUAUACUUUUUACAUUUAAUUUUAAAAUAUUACAAAAUGUUUAUUAUAAGAAAAUGUUCACAAAAUAAAUAAUUACAAGAAAAAAAUUUUAUUAUUAAUUUUUUUUGCUCAUAUCAAAUCAUAUAGUUCUUAUUUUUAAUACUUAAUUUUUUUAUUUAUUUUCUAUUCAUGUAAUUUAUUUAAUUUAUAAUAAAUAUAAAUAAAAGAGUAGUUAAAAAUAAGGGUAAUAUUGUAAACUUACACUGUCAGGGGGUUUUUGGCCAUUAGAAAACAACAAGGGGGUAAAUGGUAUAUGUUAAUUACUGUAGAGGGGAAAGUGACAAUCCCCCUUUUGAAUAUUAUGUAUACCUUAUGUAGUUUCAAACUUUUUACUUGUAUUUGGAGACCAUUUAAAGUUGUUGUUGAAGAAGUGUAGAAAGAUGAAAAAUAACUUCAUCUUACAACAACUGUGAAAGAUAUUAAAAUAAUAUUUUUUCAAAAUCCAAUUUUUAGCAUAAAUUUCAUCCUUAAUUAAACAUCACAUGUAUUAUAUAAAUGAAAAACUAACAUUAUUCAAUUUAAAUUAAAAAAUAAUAAAUAUAUGAGGUAAUAAAUAUUAUAACGAGUUUUUAUUUUAAAAUUGUAAACUUUUGUUUCUGACAGUAACUCUUAUAUUAAUUUACUUAUUUUGCCUUUUAUUCAUAAGUUUUAUGCAUAAUCUACAAACUUUAUGUUUUAUUUUGCAUUUAAUGUUGAUUUACCUUUUUUAUAUUAUAUUUAUAAGUUUUCAUUUGAUUUACCAGUAAUACAUCAAUUUAUCAAUUUUAUAGUAAUUUACUUAUUUUACCUUCUUUUUACAAUUCUUAUGUUUCAUUUUCAAAAUUUAUGUUUUAUUUUACAGUUAUUGAUGAUUUACUAGUUUUAUAUUAUGUUUGCAAGUUUUUGUUUUAUUUACUAGUAAUAAAUUAAUGGGUAAUUUUUAAUUUAGUCCUCAUGUUUUCGAGAAAAAAAUUCAGAGACUAGAAAUUUACUAAAUGAAUCAAUUAAAUUAUUUCAAGCACAAACUAAUGUCAAUCAAGUCCUUAACUUAAUUGCUUAGUUAAAAAUAUUAACAACAUUGAGGAUAUUUUAGUAAAACAACAAUUGAGCCCUUCCUCAUUCUUUAUUUUUGACAUGUGGCAAUAGUUUAAAGUAAAUUCAAUUAACCUAAUUAAGUUAAGGAUCAGUUCUUGCAAACGAAAAAAAAAAAAAAACCUACAAAAACUGCCAUAAUCUUCGUGUGAGAGGAGAGAUCGAGAGAAUGUGGGAUGGUGCCAAAAAUGUUGUAUAAAUCUACUAUGAUUUUGACCAAAGCUUUGUUAGCAUUUGUUGAGUUCAAGUACUGGAGAGAACCUAAUUAUAAAGGUCAGUAACUCUAUUUUUUUAGUGAUUUUUGCAAGCGUUUUUUGAUAAAAUUGUUUCCAUAUUUAGUGAUCGUUGUGAAAAAUUAGGUUUUUCAAGUCUAUUUUUCUAAAUGACAAACUAUGUUUAAUUACUGGUGGUUUUUUUUUUAUUGAAUGUGGUAUUUUGUUAAUACAUUGUUUUUAAUUUGCUCUUCAUGUAAUUAUUAGACCAAAUACGCCAUAAUUAUAUUUGUAUUCAUUUCAACCAAUUGGUAUUGUUAUAUUAAUAAGAUUGAAUUCAUUGUAUUUGCUUCUUUGUUCAUGCAAAAAUUGAAUUCUAUGUGUUCUUAUGAGUGGUAAUUUUUCUAUAUAUUAGAAUAAAUUCACAAUAGUUGCUAAUUUCUUUCUUUUUGCUGGGUUAUUUUUUCUUUUUAGUUUUUAUUUUUUAUAUGUAUUAGAUUGAAUUUGCUUUUGUACUUUUUUUAGCCGAAUUACAUGUAUAUUUCAUUUAGGUUAAGUUUUUUUGUUCUUUGCUAAAUAAAAUUGUAUUGGUUUAUCCUUUUUUGUUGCAAUACUUUUUGUUUUAAAUUGAUGCAAGUAGCCAUGUUACCUUUUGUUUUUCAGUUAAAAUUAAUGGGGUGGUGUAUGAGAUAGGAUAUAGAGAACCAGAGGAAUAUAAGAUUAUUAGGUUGUUUCAUGAAAUUCAAGAAUUCAUGGUUAAGCAUGGACAUAAUGAAAUGGAUAUGAUUGAAAUUUCUAUUGUAUUGCCAUGGACUACAAGUAGGCAGAAAAAGCUAAUUUCAAACGAUAGUGAAUUGUAUUGGGUUUUUUAGGAGUUUUUUUUUUUAUCAAUAGUUGUCAUGUCAUUGAGUUUGAGGUGCACACUGGGUCAGGUGGUCAGUCAUGUCAUGAAAAUGUUGUAAUAGGAUCUGAAAAUCUUAUCAAUAUAGCGGUUGGGUGGGUAGUGAUAAGUUUGAAAAAUUUAGUGAGGAUGGCUUUAUCGGAGGGCUCUCAUCUAAUGAAGAGAAUGGUCUCUCACAUAUGUAUAAAUCCAUUGUUGAUAAUGAGUAGAAACCAAAUCCAAAUAGUUUAAUUAGUCUAAAAGUAGGAAAUACAUUUGAAUCUGUUGCAUUAUUAAGAGAGGUUAUAAUGAAGUAUGCAAUCGAAGAGGGUUUUUAGUUGAAUAGGAUUAAAAAUGAUGGUGUUAGGUAUUAUGUCAAUCUAAAAUGCACUUGGAAACUUAAUGCUUCAUCGAUGGUUGACGGGAUAACUUUUAAAAUUAGGUAUAUUAAAGGGAAACAUGAUUGUCAGAUUAAAUAAGUUAACAAAGAUGCAACAGCACAUUGGAUGAUGUACAUGUCAUAAUGAGAGAGCUAAAAGAUAAACAUAGGAUUGAAUGUGAUAAACAAGAACUAUGCAGGGCAAAAGAAAUUGCACUAAAAAACCUAGGUCUUGACCAUGUUGCUUGCUAUGGAAAGCUUUUGAAAUAUGCUCACAUUCUAAUGAAAAUGAGUAGAGGUGCUUGUGUCAAGCUAAAGUUGAUAGGCCAUUGUCAAAUAGCCUAGUUUUUCAAAGGUUUUUUUAUCAUUUCCCGCACUUAAAGUGGGGUACCUAACUGGGUGUAGACCUUUCAUAAGAUUGGAUGGGUGUCACUUGAAUGGGCCAUAUAGGGGAGUAUUGUUAUCUGUUGUUGCAUUAGAUGCUGACAGUAGAAUUUUGCCACUGGCUUUUUGCAUAUGUGAGGCAGAAAACUAUGAUAGUUGGGGUUAUUUUUUUUAUCUUUUUUGUAUGAAUUCAUUGGGGCCGAUGAUCAUAGACCUGUGACUAUUAUUAGUUAUAGACAAAAAGGUCUUUUAUGGCGACUAAAAAAAUAUUAGCCUAAUGCUAGCACUAGAUAUUGUGCUAGGCAUAUCUUUGCCAAUUGGAAGUGCAGGUUUCCUGGUUUGAAUGUGAUGGGGUUAUUCUGGAAAGCUUGUAGGGCUGCAAAUCAAUAUGACUUUGAGAGGGCAAUGAGUUAAAUUAGGGCUAAAGACCAAAAUUGUUGUUGCUUAAAGAUUGUGGGAAUAUGAGAUAUUUCCUUGGAAACCAGCAUUGGCUCUAAGUUAUUGCUUAAAGAUGUCAAACAUGUACCAUAUAUUCUUCUUAAUUUGAUCUCUACAGGCAAGCUUGAUGAUGAUGGUUAUACCAACUAAUUUGGUGAAGGAGUAUGUAAGCUCACCAAAGGCUCCUUAGUGUUAGUUAAAGAGAGGAAAGUAAACACCCUCUAUGUGUGAUAACUCUAUGAAACGAGAGUUAUUAUAGAAAUUCUAAACUUAAAUCAAUAUUACUUACAGAGUAAAUGAUGUGUUUCUAUUGUAUUUUUGUUACAUUGUGUAUAAACAUUCAUUUUAGUUUAGUCUUAAUAAAUUUUGCUUAAUUUAGAAUAAUUCGUGCUUAAAUUGUGUGCAUAAUUAUAGGUGUCUAGAAGCUCAUAUCUCAUGGAAGGAGUGUUGAUGCAAUAGGCUUGUAAAAAUGAGGAAGAACAUGGCUACAAAAGAAUUGAAACAAAUCUGGAAUAAUGUAGUGUUGUAGCCGUUCUUGUAGCAACCAUUGCUGUAGCAAUCCUGGAACAACGAUAGAGAAAAUUUAGCACGAGAUACUUGUAGAAUCAAGAUCUGCAAUUUCUUAAUUUGACUUAUGCGCGCCCUGGGCUUCUGUUUACCCUAGUUUUCAGUUAUAAAAAGAGCACGCAUCAUAUGGUAAAAGGGGCGGUGAAUUAACAGCAAAGAAAUCAAGAGGAAAAGAAUGAAAAAUCAGAAUUCAAGGGAGAACAAGUCUGCACCAGUGAAGAUAUUGGCAUAACUAUUUGGAUUCAAUUUUCAUCGUUCUUUACUUAUCCCUUUUCUUACUCUUUGAUUGAACCGAUGGAUUUCAUCGCUGAUACUUUGUUGUUUGUUUUUCUUUUCCAAAGUAUGAACUAAAUUUGAUUGUAAUUGAGUGACAAACAAUCUCAAUGGGUUCUUGACUGUUCUUAUGAGUUAUUAAAAGAUUGCUGUAGCAUUUUGCUGUAAUAGCUUAUAUUAGAAUUAUUAUUUCGGUUGACCUCCCAUUUAAUGGUUCAAGUUAAGAGAGAGCCACAAAAUGGCAUGUCUUAGUGGAAAUUAUUAGAGUAAUACUUGAUCUUAAUUUAAGUUUUCUGGAUUGAGUUUAACUUGAGCCCCAAAAGAGCCACACUUGAGUUAAGAUUUGUGAAGAACUAGAUAUAGGGAUUCACCUUAUAGGGUAGAGGGGGUGUAUGUUCAUAAUGCCAUACCUUAGGUGAAAUGACAACUGGUCAUUGUUAGAGUGCUUAAGGGUAUGAGAAGUCCAACAAGCGACAGCUGAGGAUGCAAAAUAAUUUUGCACUGUGCUGUUGGAAUUGCUGUAAUAACUGGUGUUUAUUUGAACAGAACAGUCAGCCCAUGAAUAGAGUUUGAUCAUUCAGCUACCUCAUUCUCAUUAAAUUCUUCUUUACGCAAUUCAUCUAAUUUACUUUAUUACUGCAUUUAUUUUAUUAAAAUUGUUAAUUUCGGUAGUAAUAAACUUUAAUUAGAUUUCUCUUUAGAUAAAAGAAAUUUGCACUGUCGUGAUUGCUAUAGCAUUUCUAGUAAUAUCAGUUCAUGUGGAGACGAUCUUGAAUAUUCAUCAUUUUAUUACUUGUUGUGUACACUUGCACAUGAUAUCAAUAGCAAUUGAGUUAAAUUAAAUAACAAGUUUUUGGCGCCGUUGCCGGAGAUUGAUUGUUUAUUUUUGAAGUGUGAAGUCAAUCUUGACAAAUGCCAACUUGAUCUAAUUCAUUCUAUUUAUUGACAGAUCAUGACUUGCAUGGGCAAAGGCAGAUCUGUUGAAUUUCAAUUUGAUCCUGAGAUUGAAAGGACUGUAAGGAGAUUGCGAAGAGAGUGAAGAAAUUCAAAAACUGUUUCAAAAAUGGAUAACUUGCAAGAUGUGGGAAACUUGGAUCCUCACGGGCCACUACAACCUGUCAAUGUUCAAGAGGGGCAAAUGGGCACGUUAAUCAAAGACAACCAAGCAACAACAAUAUCAUUUACAUGGAAGACGAUAGAGAUAGGGUUAUCAGAGAUUAUGUUGUGUUAACUCCUUAAGUUGUACAUCUUGGAAUAGUCAGACCUGAAGUGGAAGCCGCCAACUUUGAACUUAAACCGGUAAUGUUUCAAAUGCUACAAAUAGUGGGUCAAUUUAAUGGACUGUCAUCUGAAGAUCCUCAUCUCCAUCUUAAGUUUUUUUUGGAAGUAAGUAAUGCUUUUAAAACUGCUGGAACAACGCAUAAUGCUUUGAGACUGAGGCUUUUUCCUUACUCCUUAAGAGAUCGAGCAAGAGCAUGGUUGAAUUCCUUACCAUCUGAUUCCAUCACUACAUGGAAUGACUUGGCUGACAAAUUCUUAAUGAAAUAUUUUCCACCAACCAAGAAUGAAAAAUUGCAAAAUGAGAUCACCUCUUUUCAUCAACUUGAAGAUGAGAGCUUGUUUGAGGCUUGGGAGAGAUUUAAAGAGUUUCUCAGAAGAUGUCCUCAUCAUGGCAUUCCCUGUUGCAUACAGCUAGAAACCUUUUACAAUGGGUUGAAUCCAAGUACAAGAUUGAUUGUCGAUGCUUCAGCAAAUGGAGCCCUAUUAUCCAAAUCUUACACUGAAGCUUAUGAAAUUUUGGAGAGAAUUCCUAACAAUAACUACCAGUGGCCAUCAACUGAAAAACUGUAGCAAGAGAAGCAGCAGGGGUACAUAACAUAGAUGCAAUUACAGCACUGUCAGCUCAAGUAACAUCAUUGACUAACAUGGUAAAAGCCAUGACUUCUACUUCUACAGUAGUAAAGCAAGUUGCUGAACUAUCUUGUGUGUAUUGUGGUGAGGAGCAUGUAUUUGACAAACUGUCUAGGAAAUCCAGCAUCAGUAAACUAUGUGGGAAACUUCAACCGACAGCCCUAGAACAACCCAUAUUCAAGUACUUACAACCCUGGAUGGAAUCAACACCCAAAUUUCUCAUGGAGCAAUCAAAAUCAGCAUGCUUCAGCACCUAGUGGACAGAACAAACAUGCUCAUCCACUUGGUUUUCAUCAGCAAAAUUAAGAGCAAAAACACACUAGCCAUGAUCAAAUCACCUCAUUGGAAACACUUUUUAAGGAAUGUAUCGUAAAGAAUGAAGCAAUUGUGCAAAAUCAAGCUGUAUCUCUGAGAAACCUGAAAAACCAAAUUGGACAGUUUGCCACAGCAAUGAGUAGUAGAUCUUAGGGAAGUUUACCCAGCAAAACAGAAGAUCCAAGAAGAGAGGUAAAAAACAUUGUAAAGUAAUCAACUUAAGAUAUGGGAAGAAUGUUGAUAUUGCUGUUGAUGUGACUAAAAAGAGGUUGGAACUUAACUCCUCACAAGAACCACCUCAAGAUGAAAUGAUGUUACAGCAACCCAGCCACUAAGAUACUGGCACUAGUGGUCAAGCUACAGCAACCUUGGAAGAAAAUCACCCAAUACCUAUUGAAGAAGAUGUUGCAACACCAGUGGUGACAAAUUACAAUAAAUCAAAUGAGCAGAUAUUGGUACCUCUUGAAGUUGUACAACAAUUUAGGCAUCCACCUCCUUUCCCACAGAGAUUCCAGAAACAAAAACAAGACUAAUAGUUUAGCAAAUUCCUGAAAGUGCUGAAACAGUUACACAUCAACAUACCUUUUGUGGAAGCAUUAGAGCAAAUGCCUAAUUAUGUGAAAUUUCUAAAAGAUAUUUUAACAAGAAAAAGAAGGUUGGGAGAAUUUGAAACUGUUGCUUUAACACAGGAAUGCAGUCACAUGUUUCAGAGUAAGAUUCCUAAAAAAUUAAAGGAUCCAGGAAGCUUCACAAUAUCAUGUUCAAUUGGAACUAAGUACAAUGGCAGAGCACUCUGUGACUUGGAGCCAGCAUUAAUCUAAUGUCAUUAUCUCUAUUUAAGCAAUUAGGAGUAGACUUUGAGUCUGAUAAAGAGGUACCAAUUAUAUUUGGAAGACCUUUCCUGGCAACCAGGAAGACUCUGAUAGAUGUUCAGAAAUGAGAGCUAACCAUGAGGGUGAAUGACCAACAAGUCACCUUCAAUGUAUUAGAAGCUAUGAAGAGUCCUGAUGAGGCAGAAGAUUAUAAUUUUUUUAGUGUUGUGGACCUUGUUGUGGCAGACAGAAUAAAUAGAUGCUGCAGUAAAAAGGUUAUCAAAGCUGCCACCUUUGAAAGCUUUGAAGAAGAAAAUGUUACAGCAAACCAGAUAGAUUGGAUGGUAGAAAGGCAAUCUAAAAGACAUAGCAGAUUUAUCGAACCUCUAAAUCUUUCAAACAGGGACAUAAAGACAACUUUACCAUCUAUUGAAUCAACUCCUACUCUUGAAUUAAAAUUGUUACCUUCACAUUUGAAAUAUUCAUAUCUUGGUGAGAACAAUACACUUCCGGUAAUCAUUUCAUAUUCUUUAGAUGCAGAUCAAGAAAGAAGUCUGGUAUAUGUGCUUAGGAAAUAAAGAAAAACAAUUGGAUGGACUAUGACAGACAUUAAACGGAUCAGCCCAUCCAUAUGCAUACAUAAAAUUCUGUUAGAAGACUGCUAUAGCAAUUCAGUAGAGCAACAGAGAAGGCUAAACCCCAUUAUGAAGGAAGUUGUAAAGAAAUAAAUCAUCAAAUGGCUGGAUGUUGGGAUCAUAUACCUGAUAUCAGACAGUUCAUGGGUGAGCCCAGUACAAUGUGUUCCAAAGAAAUAAGGAAUAACAGUAAUAGAAAAUGAAAAGAAUGAACUUAUUCCUACAAGAACAAUGACUGGAUGAAGGGUAUGUAUGGAUUAUAAGAAGCUCGACAAAGCCACACGGAAGGAUCACUUCUACUUUCAUUUAUAGAUCAAAUGUUAGACAGAUUUGCUGGAAAAUAAUAUUAUUGUUUCCUAAAUGGGUAUUUAGGUUACAACCAAAUUGUUAUACCCCCAGAAGAUCAGGAAAAGACUACAUUCACCUGUCCUUAUGGAACUUUUGCCUUUAAAAGAAUGCCCUUUGGUCUGUGUAAUGCUCCAGCAACUUUCCAGAGAUGUAUGAUGUCUAUUUUCUCAGAUAUGGUGGAGCAAACAUUGGAAGCCUUCAUGGAUGAUUUCUCAGUUUUUGGAGAAACAUACACUGAUUGUUUACAUAACUUGGAAGAAGCUCUUAAAAAAUGUGAGAUGACUAACUUAGUACUCAAUUGGGAAAAAUGCCACUUCAUGGUGCAAGAAGGCAUAAUGUUGGGUCAUAGAGUGUCCAAGAAUGGCAUAGAGGUAGAUAAAGCAAAAAUAGAAGUGAUAGAUAAACUGCCACCUCCCACUUCAGUCAAGGGUAUUAUAAGUUUUUUGGGACAUGUUGAAUUCUACAGAAGAUUCAUAAAAGACUUCUCCAAAGUAGCUAAACCAUUAUGCUCACUACUAGAACAUGACAAGCCUUUUCAUUUUGAUAAAGACUGUCUUUAAGCUUUUAAAGAAUUGAAGAAAAUUUUGAUCAUUGCACCAAUGGUUAUAACACUAGAUUUGACUCUAUCUUUUGAGCUGAUGUGUGAUGCCAGUGACCACUCUGUUGGGGCAGUGCUGGGGCAGAGAAAGAAUAAGAUUUUCCACUCUAUAUACUAUGCCAGUAAAACUCUUGUUCAAGCUCAGAUUAAUUACACCACUACAGAAAAAGAGCUGCUAGUAGUAGUAUUUGAUUUCAAUAAGUUUAAAGCUUACUUGGUGGGUACUAAAGUGACAAUCUACACAGAUCAUGCAGCCAUCAAGCACUUAAUCUCAAAGAGAGAUGCCAAACCAAGAUUAAUAAGAUGGGUAUUAUUGCUUCAAGAGUUUGAUUUGGAAAUUAAGGAUAGAAAGGGGACUGAAAAUCAAGUAGCAAACCAUCUAUCGAGGCUGAAAGCAAAUACGAGCACAUUGACUAAACAAGACAUCACUGAAACAUUUCCUGAUGAACAACUGUUAGUGCUAUAACAUGCACAGAUGCUACAGCAACCGAGAUCUCCAUGGUAUGGAGAUUUUGCUAACUACUUAGUAAGUGGAUUGCUACCACCUGGGUUGAAUUUUCAGUAGAAAAAGAAAUUUCAUUUUCAGUAGAAAAAGAAAUUUCAUUUUCAGUAGAAAAAAAAUUUUCAUUUUCAGUAGAAAAAAAAUUUUCAUUUUCAGUAGAAAAAGAAAUUUUCAUUUUCAGUAGAAAAAGAAAUUUUUUCAUGAUGUUAAAAGCUACCAGUGGGAUGAUCCAUACUUGUAUAAGUUAUGCUUAGAUCAGGUAAUCCGAAGAUGUGUUUCAGAGGAAGCAAUUUCACAUAUACUGCAAUAUGGCCAUGCUGCAGCAUAUGAAGGACAUUUUGGUGGACAAAGAACAACUGCUAAAGUUCUACAAUCAGGUUAUUACUGGCUUUCUAUUUUUAAGGAUACUUAUGAGUUUGCUAAACGUUGUGACAGAUGCCAAAAGACAGGAAACAUAACUCAAAGACAUGAAAUGUCAUUAACAAACAUUCUGGAAGUGGAGAUUUUUUAUGUAUAGGGAAUAGACUUCAUGGGCCUUUUCCCACCAUCCUUUGAGAAUUUUUAUAUCCUGGUUGCUGUGGAUUAUGUCUCCAAGUGGGUAGAAGCUGCAGCAUUACCUAUCAACGAUGCAAGAGCAAUAGUGAAUUUUCUUCAGAAAAAUAUUUUUUCCAGGUUUGGCACUCCACGAGCAAUUAUUAGUGAUGAGGGUACUCAUUUCUGCAACAAAGCAUUUGCUGCAGCAAUGGCCAAAUAUAGAGUCAAACACAAAAUUGCGACAGCAUAUCACCCACAAUCCAAUGGCCAGGCAAAAGUAUCUAAUAGGGAAAUUAAGAAGAUUCUAGAAAAGGUAGUGAAUCCUUCAAGAAAGGAUUGGUCAUUGCGAUUACAUAAAUCUUUAUAGGCUUUCAGAACAGCAUAGAAGACACCACUUGGCAUGUCUCCCUACCAAAUUGUGUAUGGAGCACAAAGCAUAUUGGGCACUGAAGCAAUUAAAUUAGGAUAUACAUGCUGCAACAGAGCAGAGGAAACUUCAACUAUGUGAACUUGAUGAAUUACGGUUAUUCUCAUAUGAAAAUGCAAGAAUCUAUAAGGAGAGAACAAAACAAUGGCAUGACAAGCACAUCCAAUAAAGAAAAUUAAUCCCUGGUCAACUAGUUCUGCUCCAUAAUACUAGGUUAAGACUAUUUCCAGGAAAGCUGAAAUCUAGAUGGUCUGGACUUUUCAAGCUGCUCAGAAUUUACCCUCAUGGGGCUGUUGAACUCUUAGAUGGAAAGACAGGCCAAGAAUUCAAAGUUAAUGGGCACAGAGUUAAGCAUUACAUGCAUUCAGUUACAGAUUGUUCAAAUGAGGUCGUACUCCUUAGUAAACCGGCAUUGUGAGCAUUCAAGAAAGGUCACGUUGAAGGACCUUAAAUCAAACAUUGAAUGGGAGGCAACCCAUUGCUGAGGCAGUCAUUUCAAAUGAAGUGGAUCCUCCAUGUUUUUGUUGUAGUAUUUAUUUAUUUAUUAUUUUUCUUAGUUAGGAUUGUUUAAUUUUUAUCUUUUAUUGUUUUAUUUUAAAAAAAAACGAAACAUGCCAAGUCACGCAAUUCUUAGAGUUGGAUUCAAUACUGACAAUUGGUGUUGUAAUAUUAACAGGUUACAAAGGCAAGUUACUUGACAGCAACCAUCUGAGGAGAUUGUUGUGCAGAUUGCUAGAGCAUACAUUUUGUUGCUGCAACAACCAAUUUUAUUAUUACAGUAACUUAACUACGGAGCCUCACAUUUUACCGUUGGAGAUAACAUGUGACAGCUAGUUGGGUGAACUCAGAUAAAGAUUGGGGAAGAAUGCAUAAUCUCUUAAAUAACUGCAUCAAUAUCUCUUUCCUAUUUUUAUGGGAUAUGCUUAAUAAAUUCAAAAAUUCUUCCCUAAUUUAUCUCUUUUACCAAAUUUAUUUUAUUUAUUUUGCACCUAUAUAAGAGUUUCAUUGUGCAUGUUGACCUCUAACACUAUUUUCUUUUCCCUUCACAGUCACAACCCCUCUAUUUUAUAACCUCUGCUCUUCGUUUCACUCUUGAACAUAUUACCACAGUUAUCCUACUACUGCAGUAAUGCCAAGGUAUAAAAGGACAGCCAGCCGACUAAACGAUCUAUCACAAUUUUAAAGUUACCAUGCGGAAGAGAAGUAUGAAGAAUUUAUUGAACCGCGCAAGAUUUUGGAAGAAAAAGGGCUUCAGUUCCCACCUCAACCCUCUAGAAUUGUGCAAUCAUUAUACGAUGCUGCAGCAAAGCACGGGUGGCUGGAGUUUUGUAACCACCCCCGAGAUCCUGUGUUGGAGCUAUUUGCAGCACUUGGAGGACCACCUACACCAAUUUGUUGUAUAUAUAAAAGUACCCAUAACAAUUUCCCUGAUUCACUGCUACAACAGUACAAUUUUGGUACCUCCAUUAUAGAAGUCAGUGAAGAUGUUGCUGACACAGAUAAACAUGAGGAAGAAACAGCAGCAGAACAGCAAGCAGAUGCUGAUAUAGAUGCUGAUAACCAGUCAGACCAGCAUGAAGAAUAAUGUGUCCAGUCUACAAUUGAUAGUUCCCCGACAGAGGAGGAGGAAAAGCAUGAGAAAGAACUCGAAGAACCCUCAGCCAGGACCUUUUCCAAGUCCAGGAAAAAGCACAUCAUACGAGAAAAGGAAGAUGAACCUGCAGAGGAGCCUCCCAUUCCAUUCCUCUCUCGAAAGGGCAAAGAGAAAGUAAUUACCCCUCCUGCAUCUGACGAUGAAGCCGAGCACAUUGAUGCAGAAUUGGAAGUUGCAGCAGCCAGGGUUACUCGUACACCCAUCGAGACAAAGCAUAUGCUUGAUAUCAUUGCCGCAAUCAUGACUGAGGGGUAUACAGUCGAAGACCCAACUCCAGCUCCCUCACGGCAAACCCCCAGCAAACCUAUUCUCGCUAGUCCUAAAGGACCCAGCAAAAGAAAGGGGGGCACUUCUGGAGGCAUUGCUGCAGUAGACACACCAGAGCCAAAGAGGACCAUAUCUGUUUUGUCCCAGCCAGCUGCACCCACUGCAACUCCUCCUACUAGCCCAUCGCAAAGAAAGAAAAAGUCAUUGCCAACUACCUCACCGCAAGAAUCUCCUAAAGACCGACUGCGGAGCGCCUCCAAAAAGCGGUGAAUUGGUUAUAAUUUAUUGCAGCAGUAUUUCUAGCACCAGGGGAGUACCACUACCCGCUAGUUUAUUUUACUUCUUCAUGCAACAACUUUUUCUUCAUUUAGUUUUAAUUUUCUGAUUUAUUUUGCAUGUCUUUUUAUUUAGUAUAUGCAUAUCUGGUUUAUAUGGUUUUGUUUUGUGUGCCUGUGAAGACACAACACCUUUCAAGUUUUGGGGGGUUGUGCUAUCAUAUAGUGUGUUAUUGAGUGCAUUGCAUGUGUUGUGGUGUUGUUUGUGAAGUGAAGCUCUGUAUCUACUGCUUAUGUAUGGAUUUGAAAGCCUAAUGAAGAUAAAUUGAGUGUUACUCAGUAUGUAUGAGAAUGCCCAGUAGGGAUAGUCAUAGAUGGAGAUUGAAAUUAUGUCCCGACACUUAGACUUUGGUUGAAAUUCAUGAGACUGCUGCAGCAAAAUCAAGAAAACUGCAAAGAGUAGAAAAUAUAUCAAGUUUAGGGGAAAUGUGUGUGUUGAGUUGUGCUUAUUAAAGUCUGUUCCAAUGGCUUAAAUGGUUGAGUAACUACGGCUGAGUAUGUACCCCAUAUGCAGACUUGAGUUAAAAAGCAACAAGAGUUAUGAGCAUUGUUGUAGCAAUUGAAAAAAAAAAGAAAAAAAAAAGAAGUCCUCUGUCUGAGAAAUUGAGUAGCCAUGUCUGUUAAUGAGCCCCAUGUUCAGCCUUGAGUUAAAGAUAUCUUUAGAUAAGACUAUGUUAUGACCAUUGCUAUAGCAACUCUGACAUGUACGUUGAGUAAGUAAUUGGGUGUCAUCAUUACAAGUGAUAGGCAUUCACAUGAAAGUUCAAUGUUGUAUUGAAGGGAGUGAAUAUAUAGAUAUAUAUAUAUAUAUAUAUAUUGUUUGUUGAAGCACAAUUUAUGUUUAUUUGUGAAUUAUGCUCUCCCAUAUAUGAAUAUAUUUGUGUUCUACCUUUGAAUUACAUGCAAUAUCUCUGUAAUGUUGUAGCAUCUCUGGACUUUGAUCAAAGUGGCACACACAUUUUGGACAGAAUGCAGCCUAAGUCUAGAACUGAACUGUUAUGGCUAUUUUGCAUGAUUAAGAGUGUGAUCUGAGGGUGGAAGAAUCCUUGCAACUUUGAUGAUAAAGCUGAGCUAUUUGUUGCAUGAUUGAGUGAUUGAAGUGUUAGCAUUGUUGUCAUUACUUAAAAACAAGUAAUGGUUUAAGUUUGGGGGUGUGAUAACUCUAUGAAAUGAGCGUUAUUAUGGUAAUGCUAGAAUUAAAUCAAUAUUUACUUAGAGAGUAAAUAAUGUGUUUCUAUUAUAUUUUUCUAUUGUAUUUAAUAAAUUUUACUUAGUUUAGAAUAAUUUGUGCUUAAAUUGUGUGCAUAAUUGUAGGUGUCCAGAAGCUCAUAUCUCAUGGAAGGAGUGCUGAUGCAAUAGGCUUGUAAAAAUGAGGAAGAACAUGGCUACAAAAGAAUUGAAACAAAUCUGGAACAAUGUAGUGUUGUAGCCGUUGCUGUAGCAACCAUUACUGUAGCAAUCCUGGAACAACGACAGAGAAAAUUUAGCGCGGGAUACUUGUAGAAUCGAGAUCUGCAGUUUUCUAAUCUGACUUAUGCGCGUCUUAGGCUUUUGUUUACCCUAAUUUUCAGUUAUAAAAAGAGCACGCAUCAUAUGGUAAAGGGGGCGGUGAAUUAACAUCGAAUAAAUAAAUCAAGAGGAAAAGAAGGAAAAAUCAGAAUUCAAGGGAGAGCAAGUUUGCACUAGUGAAGAGAUCGGCAGAACUAUUUGGAUUCAAUUUUCAUCAUUCUUUACUUGUCCCCUUUCUUACUCUUUGAUUGAACCGAUGUAUUUCAUGGCUGAUACUUUGUUGUUUGUUUUUCUUUUCCAAAGUAUGAACUAAAUUUGAUUGUAGUUGAGUGACAAAUAAUCGCAAUGGGUUUUUGACUAUUCUUAUGAGUUGCUGAAAAAUUGAUGUAGCAUUUUGCUCUAAUAGCUUAUAUUACAAUCAUUAUUUCGGUUGACUUCUCAUUUAAUGGUUAAAGUUAAAAGAAAGCCGUAAAAGGGCCUGUAUUAGUGGAAAUUAUUAGAGUAAUACUUGAUCUUAAUUUAAGUUUCCUAAAUUGAGUUUAACGUGAGUGCCAAAAUAGCCACACUUAAGUUAAGAUUUGUGAAGAACUAGAUAUAUGGAUUCAUCUUGUAGGGUAGAGGGGGUGUAUGUUCAUAAUGUCAUACCUUAGGUGAAAUAACAACUGGUCAUUGUUAGGGUGCUUAAGGGUAUGAGAAGUCCAACAAGAGACAGUUGAGGAUGCAAAAUAAUUAUGCCCAUGAAGAGAGUUUGAUCAUUCAGCUACCUCAUUCUCUUUAAAUUCUUCUUUACGCAAUUCAUCUAAUUUACUUUAUUACUGCAUUUAUUUUAUUAAAAUUGUUAAUUUCAGUAGUAAUCAACUUUAAUUAGAUUUCUCUUUAGAUAAAAGAAGUUUGCACUGUCGUGAUUGCUGUAGCAUUUCUAGUAACAUCAAUCCAUGUGGAGACGAUCUUGAAUAUUCAUCACUUUAUUACUUGUUGUGUACAUUUGCAUAUGACAUCAAUAACAAUUGAGUUAAAUUAACCAACAAUGUGUUAGAAGCCAAGAUUAAGAAAGAAGAUGUGAAUGUGGCUAUAAAAGAUUCUGACAUUGAGACAUGGUAUAAAAAGUUUGGUCACAUUGGUGAAAAAGGGUUAGAAACUCUUGCCAGAAAAAGAUUUCUACCCAGCUUCGUAGAUAUGUCCCUCAAGACUUUUGCUCAUUCCUUAGCUGGAAAGACACACAGAGUAGCUUUUAAAAGGUUUUCUCCAUCUAGAAAGUCGCAAAUCCUUGAUUUGAUUCACACUGAUUUUUGCAUGAUGUAAAGUAGAUCAAUUGGAGGUGCACUUUAUUUUGUUACUUUUAUUGAUGACUAUUCUACAAAGGUGUGGGCUUUUGCUUUGAAAUCUAAAGAUCAAGUGCUUGAUAUAUUUAAGUUCUUCCAUACUUAUUUUGAGAGAGAGACGAGAAGAAAAUUAAAAUGCGUCAGGGUAGAUAAUGGUGGUGAGUAUAAAAGGCCAUUUGACCAAUAUUGCAGAUCCCAUAGAAUUAGACUUGAGAAGACCGUACUAAAACCCCACUGUAGAAUGGUAUUGCAGAAAUGAUGAACAGAACAAUUGAAAAGAGAGUCAGGUGUAUGCCUUCUGAUGCCAAGCUUCAUAAAUCCUUCUGGGCAGAGACUAUGCGUUCUGCAGUUGACUGGAUUAAAUUUUUCUCCUUCAGCUCCAUUGAUGGUGAUGUACCUGAGAUAGUUUGGACUGAAAUAUAUGUUUAUUACAAACACUUGAGAGUGUUUGGUUACAGAAUAUAUGUUCACAUUCAUAAGGAUGAAAGAUCGAAGCUUGAUGACAAAGCUAAAAAAUGCAUUUUCUUAGGCUAUGGGCAUAAAGAAUUUGGGUACAGAUUAUGGGAUCCAGUGCCAAGAAAAUUGAUCAGAAGUAAACAUGUUGUGUUCCUCGAAGAUCAAAUAGUUAGUGAUGCAGAGAAUAGUGAUGAGUCUCAGUCAUCUCUAAAGAUUCCUAUUAUUCUAACUUUAGUUUCUUCAUCUAUAGUUCAUAAUGAUCAUGGAGGAGCUGGAGAGGAUAGUAAUGAUGGUCCAGCAGAACUAGUUGACCAAGCACCUCCAGAACCACCUGCACCAUCAAUGGAGCCUGAAUUGAGAAGAUUUACUAGAGAACGGUGACCUUCCACCAGAUAUCCUCCACAUGAGUAUAUGAUGCUUACAGAUGAAGGGGAGCCAUAAUGUUUUGAAGAAGCCAUGUUUCAAAUAACUCACAAUAACGAUACAAGGCUAGACUGGUUGAUGGGGUACCUAGCAACUUCUUGUUGUGUGGGCUGAUCAGACUUUACUUUCUUAGUUUCUGAUUCUUCUUAUGCUUGCAUUGUUACAGCAUAUACGGAGGGUUGUGCCUUUUUACGCUUGUUGGAUGCCCUAGGAGUUCUGCUAGGAGAUUUGAUGGGAGGUUGUUGAGUAAUGCUUACUGUAGUAGUUUCCCCAGAUGUGAUUUUAGCAAUAAUAUCAGGGAAACUCUUAUUUGCUUCAUCAGUUUUUGUAGCCCUGGUAUCAGCUGCUUUAAUUUCUGCAUCAAUAUCAUCUUGAUCAUUGUCUGAUUCUUCAUCAGUCAGAACUUUUUGUUUACCUUUACUUAGAAACACUGUAAUCGGGGGUUCAUCAUCCUGCCCAUCCUAUGUCUCAUCUUCGUAAACUUUUAUGAUGUGCUUCUUUUUACGUUUAGGAGGUACUACUGGAGGUGCCUCAUCCUUCUACGUUGCUGAUUCGUCUUCUGUACUAUAUUCCUCCUCUAUUUCUUCUUAUUAUUUUUCCUUCUUCUCUUUCUCUUCCUCUGCUGGUAGUGGGUCUUUUUCAGAUUCUAAUUCUUCUUCACUCUCUGCUGCUGCCUCAACUACUGGAGCAUCCCUUGUUAAUGUUUGGAAAUUAAACGGCUACAACAAGGAGUCAUGGAAAUCUUUGCUCUUUUUCUUCAUGUAGACUUCAAACUAAUGUCUAUGGUUUUCAAGGUGCAUUAAAUAAUUCCUGAAUCUUUGAUUUUGUUCUUUCCAUGCGUGUACACAUUCAUUAAUGGUGUCACUUAAUUCUUGCAGCUUCAUCUCAAUGCCAGUAACGUUCAUUGCUCUGGUCACAACAACAUACUCUGGUGUUGCUGUAGUAGUAGUUUCCCUAGCAAUUCUUUCAACAAUUCGAUCAGUAAGAGCUCAUUCAUUCUUAAUGCUUUCAUCUUUUGCUGAUAUUUUCACCCGAAAUACCAGACAAAUCCUAGUAAUGAGUGAGCGAAACAACAAAGCAGCAAUCUUGUGAUUUUUCAUGGCACACUCUAAUCUCCCUCUCUAUAAUUUUCCUCACAUCAAUUGGUAUACCCUUGAAAAUGGCAUAUAAUAGGUAAGAUUUUCAUGAGAUACGGUGGUGGUGUAUGUGGUGGGUAUCAAUCGAGAUUUUAGAAAUUUUACCCACACUUUGGCUACUGGUUUCAAAUCAAUUCUAUUCACUCCUCUGCCUUCCUCAUUCAACCAUGAACUACCCUCCACCAUAAGGAUUUCAAGCACAUCACUUCACUCCUUAGCAAUCAUAUUCUCAAUCAUUUUUGAAUACUCACAAUCAAUAUCAUAUGGUAAAUUAUAAAAAAGCAUUGAUUACCCUCGGAUCUAAAGGGACUUGAACAUUCCUUACCACUAUUGUGCAUUGGUCUUGCCGCAACAUGUUGGAGUAAAAUUCCUUAACGAUUGGGAGCACAAGGUCUCGUGGGUGAGUGUAAAAAUCUAGCCAUCUUUUCUUUGCUACAGCAACAUAGAUUGUGUUGAUUGUUCCUGAUGGUUGUUGAGGGAAUUGAAAAUCAUUUUCCUCUAAAAUCUUCUUAGGCUCUAUAAAUUCUUCAAAUUAUCCUCGGCUUUGUCACUAUGGAAGCGUGAGGGGUCCUUUAGUCGAGCAGUUGUCUUCUUGUACCACGUUAUUGCUAGAGCAACAAAACUGAGUUGUUGGGUACCUAAAAAAGAAAAAACUCAUGAAAGUGACUCUAAAGUAUGUGGAGAACUGUGGACUAGAAGAGAAAAAAUUUGGAUAAGAAUGAAAAGAAGCAUUGUGAAACCCUAAUUUAUAGGUCACGGUAAAAUAGAAAAAAAUAAUUAAUGAGGUAAAUUUAGAAAUUGUAUUUGAAAUUUAAAAUAAAUCCACAUUUACGUUCGGGAAUUUAGGGAUUAUGUAAUCCAUUCUUAUUUUUUAUCUUGAUUUCUUGAGCCAUCUAUCAAAAAUUUACUCCCAACGGUGCAAAAAUACUUUCCAUAGUUAUGUCACUAUAACGGUAAGAAUCAUUGCUACAACAAGUAAUAUAGUGCUGCAGCAACUGCGAUAAAGUCCCUAGUUUGAUGAGAACCAUUGUUCAACUGUCAUAUAAAGUGUAAUGCUGCAACAUCUUGUGUCAGUGUUUUAUCCAAAAAAAAUUCAUUAUUAUUUAUACAUGCCGUAAUAAAAUAAUAGACACAAAUAAAUUAGAUAAAAACUUCAAAAUAUCAACAACCGUAAAGAAAAACAUGAAAACUAAAUUUAAUGUUAAAGGAAAAAUUGAAAUAACUCCCUUAAUCAUUGGGUUGCCUCCCAAUUAGCACUUUAUUUAAGGUCUUUCAGUCUGACCCCCCUUAAUUGCUCAAACUGGAUUUAUGAGGCACAAAUCCUCCCUUGAAUGGUGAAAAUCAUCAUUAAUAUAGUGUUUCACCCGCUGCCCAUUUACUAUAAAUUCAAUGCUAGUUCUCUCAUCUUUGAGGUCCACAGCCCCAUGAGGAUGGAUUUUGAUAAGUCCAAAAGGCCCUGACCAUCUAGACUUUAACUUUCCUAAAAAAAAGCUUUGAUCUAGAGUUGUAGAGCAAAACUCAUUGACCUAGAAUUAAAUCCCUUUGCUGGAUGCGUUUAUCAUGCCAUUGUUUUGUUUUGUCUUUGCAAAUCCUUGCGUUAUCAUAAAAGAACUAUCUUAAUCUUUAAACUCACAAAGUUAAAACUUCCUAUGCUCUGCUGCAACAUGCAUGUCCAUGUUCAGUUGUUUUAGCGCCCAAAAUGCUUUAUGCUCUAGCUCCAGUGGCAAAUAGAAAGCUUUGCCAUAUAUAAUUUUAUAUGGUGACAUGCCAAGUAGUAUUUUGUAAGCUGUGCGAUAUGCCUGUAAGGAAUCAUGUAAUCUAAAAGACCAAUAUUUUCUAGUAGGGUUCACCACUUUUUCUAAAAUCCUUUUUAUUUCCUUGUUGGACACUUCUGGCUGACCAUUAGAUUGAGGGUGAUAUAUUGUAGCAACCUUGUGCUUAAUUCUAUAUUUGGCCAAUGCUGCAGCAAAUAUUCUGUUGCAAAAAUGAGUGCUUUCAUCACUGAUGAUGGCUCUAAGAGUCCCAAAUCUUGUGAAAAUGUUCUUUUAAAUGAAUCUCACCAUGGCUUUGGCAUCAUUUGUUGGUAGUGUUACAACUUCCGCCCAUUUGAACACAUAGUUUAUAGCAACUAAAAUGUAUAAAUCCCCAAAAGAGGGUGGGAAUGGACCCAUGAAAUCCAUCCCCCCAACAUCAAAUAGCUCAACUUCUAAAAUGUUGGUUAAUGGCACUUCAUGUUUUUUAGAGAUGUUCCUUGUUAUUUGGCACCUGUCACAACAUUUAACAAACUUAUAAGCAUCUUUAAAAAUAGAGGGCCAGUAAUAACCUGAUUGUAUAAUUUUUUUACUGCUGGUCUGUGGCCUCCAAAAUGGCCUCCAUAUGCUACAGCAUGACAUGAUUGCAGUAUGUUUGAAAUUUCUUCAUCAGAUACAUAUCUUCUAAUCAUAUAGCCUGAGCAUAUCUUGUACAAAUAAGGUUCAUCCAACUGAUAACUUCUAACAUCAUUAAGAAAUCUCUUCUUCUAUUGGUAACUUAGAUUAAGUGGUAACAAUCAGCUCACCAAGUAAUUAGCAAAAUCUACAUACCAUGGAAGCCCAGAUUAUUGUAGCAUAUGUGUAUGCUUUAGCAUUAACAAUUGCUCAUUAAGAAAUGUCUCUGUGAUCUCUUGCUUGAUUAGAGUGCUUUCAUCUGCUUCCAGCCUUGAAAGAUGAAAUUCUCCUUGGUUCUCAGUCCCUAUUCUUUGUUUAAUCUCGAAGUCAAAUUCUUGUAGCAAAAGGAUCCACCUUAUCAACCUUGGUUUGGCAUCUUUUUUUUAAAAUCAAAUACUUUAUGGCUAAGUAAUCUGUGUAAACAGUCACUUUGGUGCCAACCAAAUAAGCUCUAAAUUUGUCAAAUACAAAGACAAUUGCUAGUAACUCAUUUUUCAAUGGUAGUGUAAUUAAUCUGAGCAUCAGCUAAAGUUUUGUUAGCAUUAUAAAUAGAGUGAAAAAUUUUGUUCUUUCUUUGCCCUAACACUGCUCCAACAGAGUGGUCGCUGGCAUCAGAUAUCAACUUAAAAGGUAAGUUCCAAUCUGGUGUUAUAACAAUUGGUGCUGUAGCAAAAGCUUUCUUCAAUUCUAUAAAAGUCUUUAAACAAAGCUUACCAAAAUAGAAAGGCCUAUCAUGCUCCAGCAGCUAGCAUAAGAGUUUUGAUAAUUUAGAAAAUCCUUAAUGAAUGUUAUAUAGAAUUAUGCAUGUCCCAAGAAAUUCCUAAUGCCUUUAACUGAAGUAGGUGGUGGGAGUUUACUAUUUUGACCUUCUCCACUUAUAUUCCUUUUCUAGAGACUUUAUGGCUUAGGAUUAUCCCUUCUUGUACCAUAAAAUGACACGUUUCCUAAUUCAACACUGAAUUUAUCUCCUCACAUAUUUUAAGCAUAUUUUCUAGAUUAUGUAAACAAUCAUCAUAGAUCUCCCCAAAAAUCGAAAAGUCAUCCGUGAAUACCUCAAGCGUUUGCUCUACCAUAUUUCAAAAAAUAGACAUCAUACACCUCUGGAAUGUUGCUAAAGCAUUGCACAAACUAAAGGACAUCCUUCUUAAAUCCUUCUGAAAUAAGCAAAAGUUUCAUAAAGACAAGUGAAUAUUGUCUUCUCCUUAUCCUCUAGUGCUAUAGCAAUAUGGUUGUAGCCAGAAUACUCAUCCAAGAAACAGCAGUACUUUUUUCCAACAAGUAUGUCUAGCAUCUAAUCUAUGAAAGGCAACGGGAAGUGAUCAUUCCUUGUGGCGUUGUUUAGCUUCCUAUAGUUCAUGCAAACUCUUCAUACAGUUACUGUUUUGUGGGAAUAAGCUCAUUCUUCUCAUUUGUUGCAAUAGUCACUCCACCUUUCUUUGGAUCACAUUGUACUGGACUCACUCAGGAGCUGUCGGAUAUUGGGUAGAUGAUUCCAGCAUCAAGUCAUUUGAUAAUCUCUUUCUUGGUCAAUUUGGGUGAGUACUUGCUAGCAAUCCUCUAGCAAUUAAUUUGAAUUCUUAUAGCUAUUUGACAACUAUUAAUUUAUGUUUUUAUAUUUUCAUAUUAAAUAUAUUUAUUUAUUUAUUUUGAUAAAUUUUUAAAAAAUCAUUACUUAAAUUUAAUUAAUGAAAUAUUUUAAAAAAAUAUUAAAUUGAUAAAAUAAAAUUAUAAAUAAUAACUAUUUGAUGACAUUAAACAAGUUAAAAAGUUAAAGGGGUAAUUUUAAAAGCUUUGAUUUCCAAAAGAAGAAGAAUUUGAAUUCUUCAAUUCUUUGUAUAAAAUUCAAAUUCUAUAUUAGGAUGAAUAGUAAAUUCUAAUAAAAUUUAAAUUCUUAUAUAUUUUGUCCAACCAAACAAUUAAAAAAAAAAAUUCAAAUUACUUUCCUAUUCUCUAUCCUCACCUCCCAACCAAACACCAUCUAAACUCCUUAAUAUGCCACCCACAUAUUCAAACACCUUUGAGAAUCAAAGUAUCCCAGAUCUCCAGUAAGGAACCACCCAAAUUGAAAAGUAGUCUUAUUAGCCUCAGGAUUACCUUUAAUCAAAGUAUCCCAGAUCUUGCUAGCAAUCCUCUAGCAAGAUCUUGUACAUACAUAUGGAGGGGCUGAUUCAUUUGAUAUCUUUCAUGGUCUAUCUAAUGGCCUUCUUGUAUCUCCCCAACAUUUCCACUCAGCUCUUUACUUGAUCUGCAUUCAAAGAAGAUGAAAUGAUUACAUGUAGUGUGUUAUUAUCACCAAGAUAAACAUAUUUUAGAUGUGAAGGUAGAAGUUUUAAGUAUAAAACAUGAGGUAAUUCAAUAGAUGGUACAGCAGGUUUCACUUCCCCAUUUGAAAGAUCUAGAGACUCAAAAUGUCUGUUUGUCCUCACAGGUCGCUUCUCUCUUAACUAUGCUAUAUGCGUUGCUGCAGCAUCUUCAUCUUCAAGUUCUUCAAAUGUGGCGGCCUUGAUUUCUUCAUUGUUGCAGCAAUUAUUUAAGAUGUCUGUGACAGUAAGCUUCACAGCACCGACCAAAUCACAAUCUUCAACUUCAUCAAGACUCAUCAUUGCUUCCAAUACAUUAAAGGUAACUUACUGAUCAUUAACCCUCAUACUCAACUCUCAUUUUUUAACAUCAAUUAAAGUUUUUCCUGUGGCUAAAAAGGGUUUGCCUAGAAUAAUUUGUACUUCUUUAUCUGCUUCAAAGUCCAACACUAUGAAAUCCACUGGAAAAAUGAAUUUAUCCACUUUAAUCAAUACAUCUUCAAUUUUGCCUUCAGGAUAAGCAUGAGAUUUAUCAGCAAGUUGCAAUGUCACUGUGAUUGGUCUGACUUCUCCAACUCCCAAUUAUGUGAAUACUGAUAAUGGCAUAAGAUUAAUGCUUGCUCUCAAAUCACAAAGUGUCUUACUAUUGUAUUUAGUUCUUGUGGAACAAAGAAUUUUAAAACUUCCUGGAUCCUUUAACUUCUAAGGAAUUUUACUUUAAAGUAUAUGGUUCCAUUAUUGUCUUAAAGCAACUAUUUUGAAUUCUCCAAGCCUUUUUUUUCUUGCCAAUAUAUCUUUAAAAAACUUCACAUAAUUUGGCAUUUGUUCCAAUACGUCCACAAAAGAAAUUUUGAAAUGCAGUUGUUUUAAUACUUCCAAUAAUUUACUAAACUGCUUGUCAUGUUUUUACUUCUGAAAUCAUUACGGGAAGAUUUCCCCUUGGGUAUAAUUAGGUUAUGUUCUUCUUUUUGGUACUUUAACUAAAAUAUGAACAUCCUUUUCAGACCUUAAGUUAAUCACCUUGCAAUGCUCUUUUCUUUCUCUUCUUGGAUCCUCUGUAUUGCUUAGUAAAUUGCCCUAAGGUAUGUUGCUCAAUGCUGUAGCAAGCUGUCCAAUCUGAUUCUCCAAGUUUCUUAAAGAUAUGGCUUGACUUUGGACUACUACUUCAUUCUUCACAAUAUACUCCAUAAUUAGAGUUUCAAAGGAACUAAAUUGAUCAUUACUGGUGUUUAUUUUCCCUUAAAAUUGCUGAUGAAAUCCAAGUGGCUAAGCAGGUCUGUUAUGUCCAUUAGAUGUUGCAACAUGCUGAUUCUGAUUGCUCCAUGAAAAGUUUGGGUGCUGUCUCCAUUCAGGAUUAUAGAUGUUUGAAAAUGGAUUGGUUUGAUUUUGUCUAUUGAAAUUGCCCGCAUAAUUGACUAAGCUGGAUUUCCAGGACAACUAUCAUAUAGAUGUCCCUCUCCACAAUAAACACAAGAGACUUCAGCAACUUGGUUAGUUGUUGCUGGAGCAGUGGUCGUUGAUUUUACCAUAUUUGUUAAUGAGGUUACUUGGGCUGAUAAUGAUGUCAGUGCAUCCACAUUGUGUACUCCAGUUACUCCUCUUAUUGCGGCUUGUCUAAUUAAUGGCCAUUAAUAGUUAUUGUUGGCUAUCUUUUUCAAAAUUUCAUAAGCCUCAUUGUAUUACUUAGACAACAAGGCCCCUAGUGUUUGAGUUCAACCCAUUGUAGAUAGUUUCCAAUUGUACACAACAAGGAAUACCAUGAUGAAGGCAUCUCCUGGGUAACUCCUUGAAUCUUUCCCAUGCAUCAUACAAGCUUUCAUCUUCAAGUUGAUGGAAAGAUGUGAUCUCAUUCCUCAACUUUACAUUCUUUGUCGGUGGGAAAUAUUUCAUCAAAAAUUUGUCAGCCAAAUCAUUCCAUGUGGUGAUGGAGUCUAGUGGCAAAGAAUUCAACCAUGCCCUUGCUUGAUCUCUUAAAGAAUACGGGAAAAUUUUGAGUCUCAAUGCAUCUUGUGAUGCUCCAGCAAUUUUAAAAGCAUCACUUACCUCCAAGAAUAGUUUAAGGUGAAGAUGAAGAUCUUCUUAUGGCAAUUCAUUGAAUUGCCCCACUGUUUGUAAUAUCUAAAACAUCACUGGUUUGAGCUCGAAAUUGACAACUUGCAUUUCAGGUCUAACUAUUCCAGGAUGUAUAACUUGAGGGGUCAACACGGCAUAGUCUCUAAUGGCUCUGUCUCUAUCAUCUGUCAUGUAGAUAAUAUUGUUGUUCCCUGGUUGUCCCCAAAUAUUCUGCUCAUUAUGGCUUUCUUGGUCAUUAACUGGUUAUAUUUCUCUGUGAGGGUUCAAGUUCCUCAUAUCUUGCAAAUCGUCCAUUACUACAGCAGCUUUUGAAUGCUUAUUCUCUUUCCUCAAUCUCCUUACAAUUCUUUCAAUCUCUGGAUCAAAUUGGAAUUCAACAUGUUUGUAUUUGCGCAUGCAAGGGUUGGUAGAGCUCUUCUACAAACACAUUAAAAAAAAAGAAAAUUAAAAUCUUGCAUCAACUAAAAUUGAUUUCACAAAACACAAUAAGCACCAAUCCCCGGCAACGACGCUAAAAACUUAUUGUAGGUUUUCUAAUGCUAUUAGUGUCAAUGUGCAAGUGCACAUAACAAGUAAUAUAAUGAUAAAUAUUCUAGAUUGUCUCCACAAGGAUUAUUGUUAUAGGAAUUGCUACAACAAUUUUAUCAGUGCAAUUUUUAUUCUAAAUUAGAAUUAAAAUAAAUUAUUAAAUUAAUGAACUAAUUAAGAUAAAAAUGCAAUAAGAAAAAUACAAUAACAUAAAUUAUCACAGCAAAUAUAAGGAUGUAACCAAGGGGAAUGGAGUAGUUGAGUAAUUAAACUCACUUAAUGGUUUUGAUUAUUUUUCUAAUGUUUGGUUCGAUUACUACAACAUCUUCUACAGCACUGGGAAGAAUCCUUAUGUAUCCUCAAUUGUCGCAUGUUGGAUGUCUUAUACCUAAAAACAACUUAACAAUGACCAAUUGUUAUGCUAACAUUAGAUAUAGCAUUACACGUUUUAGAUUCGAAUUACCCUACAAGGUGAAUCCUUAUAUCUAGUUCAUCACUAAUUUUAGAUUACGCAUGACCUUUUUUUAAUCAGGUUAAACCCAAUUCAGGAAACCCAAUCUAAACCCAACUUAGGAAACCUAAUCUAAACCAAGUAUUGUUAUGAUAUGUUCCACUAAGACAGGUCUUUAUAGGCUCUAUCUUAGCUAAUAUCACUAAAUGGGUGGUCAGCCAAAAUAGUGAAUUGAAAUAAGUAUUAUUAAAACAACGUACUAUAGCAAACAUGCCCCAAUAUAGUAUAUCAGUCAAUUAACUAUCAAGUUUGCUCAUCGCUCAACCACGAGUAAAUUUAGUUCAUAAUUUGCAAUAAAACAAUAAUCAAAAUAGUUUUAGCCAUCAAAUAAUCCAUCAUAACAAGAUAAAAGUAAGAGAACAAAAAAUAAGAGUUGAGAUCUGUUUGAUGUUCUUCUAGAAUUCUUUGUUGCCGUCUUCGAUUCUCUCUCUUGAUAUUUGUUUUAUCUUGUUUUGUUUCUCUAUUGUUUCUCUCAAAUGACGGUCUCUCCUUUUUCUUUGCGUUUGUACUUCUUUUAUAUCUUAGCAUCAGGGCAACCGGAAGCCUAGGGUGCGCAUAUUCUAGUUUAGGAAACUCAAGAUCGCAAUCUUCCAAGUAUUAUAAGCGAAAUCUUUUCUGCCAUUGUUCCAGGAUUGCUACAGGAACAAUGCUACAGCAAUGGCUUCAGCACCUGCACUGUUCCAGAAUUGUUUCAAUUCUUAUAUAACCAUAUUCUUUCUUUAUCUUUGCAAGCCUAUUGCAGCAGCAUUCCUCCCUUGAAAUUUGAGCUUCCGGUCACCUAUAAUUAUAUUAUGAUCUAAGCACAAAAAUUAUUCUGAAACAAUGCAAUUUAUUAAAAUAAACUAUGGAUAUUCAUACAAAAUAUAACUAAAAUGCAAUAAAAAUAUGCCAUUUACUCUCUAAGUAAUCUUGAUUUAAGUCUAAAAAUGUCAUGAAAACUUUCAUUUCACAGAGUUAUCAGCAGCAAAAGGGUUAAUCCAACUAUUGAUUUAGAUCAAGUCUAUAAUGACAAUAACCCCUAACUAUUUGAGCUUAAAGCUCUUGCCAGCAAAUGGGCAAUUGGGAUGAAAGUCCUCUAUAAACAACUUGAAUAGAUAAGUAAAGAAAAAAAAAUGUGGCUUCACUAAGUCAAAACAAAACAUAUAAUCUAUUCAUUCAGUAAAAAAGAAAACAUUUUAGCCAAGCAAGCCAUCUUGAAAAAGAAAAAGGCAAUAUAUGAGAAUCUCGUGGAAUCCAACCUGCCAACACACAGUGGGAUAUGCAAGGUGCUUAAUCAUCAAUCAGAUUCUGGCUUUUGCUAUAAAAAAAAAAUCAAAAGAAUAAUCUAGUAAGGAAGACAUGCCGCUAGAUGAAGAGCUCAUAAUUAACACGUGACAGGAGGCCACUAAAAAGAUAAAGAUGCCAACUAGAAGCAUUAAUAUUUCAGAAAGAAUCCAAAGUAAAGGAUAAGACUUAUCGAAAUCCUUACCUCAACCAUGUGAAGACUAUCAACCAUUAGAAAAAGAAGACAAAAGUUGCCCUUAAUAAUGCAAGAAGAAGGGGUUACCUUAUCUCUGGGAAAUCUAUCAGGCAACAAGUGUCAUGUAAAAAGAUAUAAUCUUAUCUCUAAAAUCUAUAUGUGUAAGAAAGGAUUAUCUUAUCUAUCUAAAUCUAUAAAUAAAGUCACGUAAGAUAGAAGAGGUAUCACUCACGAGCAUUCUCUUAUUCUCAUCUGUAUUCUCUCUUUAAAUUCAAAAAUUAAAUAAAAAAAUUGUUUUUGAGUGAAAUUAUUAUCUUUAUAUAACUUAUUUAGAUUUUAGAAAAAAAAAAUCAAGAAUAUACAUGCCAACACUUGUGCUAAAUAAAGAAGAUUUCAUAUUACUAAGCACUCUUCUAUAUCAAUUACAACAGAUUCACUUAGGCAUAUCUUACUGGCUUAGUCUGCAAUGUGUUGCUUUAGGCCGUGUGGAAUAGUUGUGGGAUUGAUCUUGCAUGAUGUGUGGAGCUAUAACAGUGCUGAGCAUGGGCCAAUUUAUAGGCUCAUGGAACUAGCAAAAUUAUUCUAGAAUUUUGAGGAUUGUACUCUAGUUAGUACUCUAAAUUAUCUUAUUAUAUUUUGCACAAAUAAAUGAUAUAGAGUGAUAAUAGCAACUCAAUUUUCAUAAAACAUGGAAAGAUGAGUCGCCAAAUUUCUAGAUGCCAUAGAUAAUCUAGACUUUAGUAAGGAAUAUCAAGUUAUUUAUACAAUGAAAAUUGUUAAAUCUCGAUUAAUUGCAAGGAAGCACUUGUAGAGAGAUAUAGAGAGAAUAAACUAUUAGCCUAAAAGGGCUACACAUAUUGUAAUUUUGAUGAUAACAAACAUGUGUCUUAAGUGAUUUGAUAAAUAUUGUAUAUCACAUUUUCAUUAGUUCUUGAAAGAUAAUAUUUAUGAUGAAGUGAAUCACGAAAAAUCAAGCUCAAGACACUCAACGGACAACGGCGUGAUCAAGAAUAAAGUUUAGAGUUCAACGGAAUCAUUAUUGCGACAAUUCUUGUAAAGCCGGUAUGAUUUAAAAUAUGAAUGAUUUAGCAUUUAAAAAGCUCAAGAUUUUGUUUAAUAAAUCAUUAUUUUUUCAUAAAUCAAAAGUUUUACAAGUAUAAGCUAAGUAUUUUAUGAAAUUAGUUAUUUUUCAAGAUGUGGACUAAAAUGAAAAUUUUUUACAAUCUUUGAUUUUAAAAAGUAUUGUUUUGAAUUCCAGAGUUUGACUUAUUUGCAAACAUUUAAAACUUUUUAGGUCAUACUAUAAUUUAUGAACGUUUGAGGACCCGAAGUGAAAAUAUCCAAAAAUUUGAUAAAGAGUUAGCGGCUAAUCGCCUGAGGGCUAGCGGCUAGCUGCCUAAGGAAAAUCUCAUAUUUUCAAAUUUUGGACUAAAUUAAAAGAUUUUGAGAACUUUGAAAUUUAUAAGUAUUAUGUUAAAUUUUGAAAAAAAUUAUUAAACUUUGGACCAUAUCAUAAUUUCAAAAAGUUUUUAGAAUAACAAGUAUUAUUUUAAAAUUCAAAAGUUGGACCUGUUUGUAAAGUGUUAUAACGUUUUGGGCCAUAGUAUAAUUACAUAAAGUUUUGGGCACAAAUGUAACUUUAUUGUUCUGAAGCAACGAGCCGGAUAAAUUAAGUGGCUAGUCACUUGUUUGCUGGAAUUUACCCAUAACGGCUAAUUUUCAAGCUUUAUCUAUAAAAACUCAACUCCAACUUCAAUUUGGAGACUUUUGCAAGCAUAAACAAGUGCAUAAAAUAUAUAUUGAGCUUUUAUUUCGCAAAUCAUCUUAUAUUGAAUCAUCAUUGUGCUAUUAUUUGUAGAUCUACUCUAAAAGAGAGUUUUUUUUGUUGUAUUAUUCAUUUUUCUCAUCAAAUUUGUAAGUGUAUAAGUGUGAGAAACACUUAUGUGAAGAGAUUGAGAGAUAAUCUCUUGGUUGUAAAGGUUUAUUGACAUCUUGAAAGUCAAAUGUAAUGAACUUGAAGCCUUGGGAAACUUGAAUAGUGAAAUCCUUAAGGUUGGUUGGCUUGGAGGCAUGGACGUAGGCGGGGAUUGCGGAACCACGUAAAAAUUAUUGUGUUUGCUCUAUUUUCCCUUACUCUUCUAUUAUUGUACUUUAUUGAAUUUUUUAUUUUUUAUUUGAUUAAGACAAUAGAUUGAAUUGUUGUGCGAAUUGUUUAGCGUAAGUUUUAAAAUCUCAAUUCACCUCCCCCCCCCCUCUUGGAUUGCAUAACUUGCAUUUCAUAAACUUUAAAGAUAAUAAUUAAAUAUACGACAGCUUUAAGGAAGAAAAUAGAAUAGUAUUAAUAGAAUCUAUUUUAACCGGUCUUGAAAUAAUUCAAGACAGAUGCAAAAUAAAUAACAGGACUCUAAACCGUCCAUAAUAAGUCUAUUGAUGAAUAAAAACAAUAAUAGUGAUGUGAAUAUAUUCGGAUUUUAUAGAUUUUUAUGAAUUUGAUAACCAUUUAGAUCUUUAUAAAAUUAUAAUAAAACUUUAAAAAGCUUUAAAAAUAUAUGUAGAAAAGAUGGAAGAAGAAAUCAUCCAUUUAUUCAAAAUCAAUUAAACAAAAAUAAAAGGUAAAAUACUUGAGUUAUAUCAAUUAUACAAUUUCACAAAAAUUUUACAUAGAUUGCAAAAAGGUCCUUGUGGCACUACAGCAGGUUUCAUAAAUUUUUUACAUACAAAUUUUAUGUUUUAAAAUAUGAAUUUUUUUUUGUAUUUAAUACUUUGUUCAACUAUAUGUACAGGUCCUCAACGUGUUGGUUGAUGUUGAAUAUUCAAAGAUCCACAAGCUAUCAAUGACAACGACUCAAAUUAAACUAAUUCGUUAAUACAUAAUAACUGGGUUGUUUCCUAUGCUUGUUAAUGAUGUAGGACGUUGUUUUAGAAUUUUAGAAUUUUAAUUUUUUAGGUCUUCUGAUAUUUUCUUUUUUAAUUAAAGUUAGUGUCUUAGUCUUUUAUUUCUAUUGUAAUUAUGAUUUACUUUCCCUUUUUAAGUUAACUUAUAAAAGUAGAUUUACUCUAUUAUAAAUAAAGAGAUCUUGUUAUCGCUUUUAUAACUUCAACUUCAGUUAUUAAAUUAAAAACCCCUCUUUUAUAAUUUCCUUUGGUAUUAUCUAUUAAAAAUUCCUCUUUUAGAGUUGUUUGAUUAGAGUAUCAUUUAGCCUAUCUUAACACAGUAUUAAAAAUCCCAUUGAGUUUAAUCAUACUUCGAUUUGAGCGUAAUUAAUAGCAUUGAUUUGGUCCAGUACUUGAACGAUAUCUAGUGUUUUGCUUCUGCUACGCCCAAGGAGAAAAUGAAUUUCACCGUGAGAUAAGAGCAUUAAAAGGAAUUCAUAAGAAAUUUAAAUUAAAUUAGCUACGAAGUGAAAAUAAAUAAAUAAAUAAAUGAAUAUGAAGUUGAAAAUAAGUCUCGCCGCCUGGAUCCAAGGCCAAAACAUUCAUGAUAAGUUAGGUAAUUAAGUACAUGUUUUCAAGCUCUUCAUGAAGAAUAAUGUUAUUGAAAUAAAUCACAAAGACUCCCUGCGCAAAUUAUUACAUUGAUUAAAAAAAAAAUGCCAUAUCUUUAACAGGAUCGUGGCUCUCGGACUGUUAAUUACUUUAUUCCCUGCUUGGCCAACAGCUGGCCACUAAACAAAAUCAUAAAAAUUUUAAAUUUAGUCAAAUUGGUCCCACUUGAUGUCAUCCUUUUCAUACAUAAAAUUGUUUAACGUCAAGGUUAAAUAUGAGAAGUUUGGUAGAGACGGUAAAAAGGAAGUCUAUAUAAGGAGGGGAACGAGCUUUGUUUAUAGCACAAGUGAAACUCCACUUUAUUGAACGAUAGGGUCUCAAAUGGGCUGCCUCUUUGCCACUCUUUUGGUAGUAUCAGUCUCUCUUAGCUACUUGCCGUUAGAAGCCUCCGCAAACAAAUACUACUACACAUCUCCUCCCCCUCCCAAGUACAAGUCUCCACCCCCCCCGCCACCGGUUCACAAUUCUCCACCACCACCCCCGGUUUACAUGCCCCCGCCACCUCCUCCACCAGUCUACGUGCCUGCUCCGGCACCAACUCCAAUUUCCUAUUCCCCGCCACCUCCUGUCCCCAAGUCCCCACCACCACCUCACCCUUACGUCUAUGCAUCUCCCCCUCCUCCUUACUACUACUAGAAAGCGGCCAUGAAUAGCUCAUGCUUUUAUGGUAAUCUCAUUUAUUUUUAAAACUGUACAUGUAAAGACUAGUAGUUCAGAAUUAAAUUAAGCAUUUCAAUUUUAAGCACCGUGUUCUGUUUAAUUGCGUUCCUAUUGAUUAAGUGACAAAUAAAAGAGAUUGAUUAAUUUGUUCUUGUAGGAGAGGCGAAUGGUAUCCGAAUAAAGAAAGCAAGGGUUUGAUGGAAAGCUUACUUGGAGCAAGAUAGCGAUCAAUCGAGUUGCUGCGUUUUAUUCUCUUUUAUCUUUGUUUUUUAAGAAAAAUAAACUGCCACACGUGGAAACAGAAAAGUUCUUGUCAUUUUCAUGCAUAUGGAUUGUUGCUAUGUGUGUCAAUCAAAUCUCUGGUGUGUCAUUUGUAAUUUUCAACCUUUAUGCAUGCGAAUGCGAGACCUCUUUCGUAUAAUAAAAUUAAUAUACUUCCCAAGACGGUCUUAUCUUGCGUUGACUUUUUACGUUCUUUGGUGAUGAUUUUGACGUUUGAAAUUGAUGACUAUUGUUUUUGUAAACUCUGCAUGGAUUUUUCGUGCAACUACAAAGCGCAUUAACG
rnacentral:lncRNA from 1 species